rnacentral:siRNA from 1 species
UAAUCAUGUUUUCCAAUUAUGU